rnacentral:rRNA from 1 species
UGGGGAAUAUUGCACAAUGGGCGCAAGCCUGAUGCAGCCAUGCCGCGUGUAUGAAGAAGGCCUUCGGGUUGUAAAGUAUUUUCAGCGGGGAGGAAGGGAGUAAAGUUAAUACCUUUGCUCAUUGACGUUACCCGCAGAAGAAGCACCGGCUAACUCCGUGCCAGCAGCCGCGGUAAUACGGAGGGUGCAAGCGUUAAUCGGAAUUACUGGGCGUAAAGCGCACGCAGGCGGUUUGUUAAGUCAGAUGUGAAAUCCCCGGGCUCAACCUGGGAACUGCAUCUGAGACUGGCAAGCUUGAGUCUCGUAGAGGGGGGUAGAAUACCAGGUGUAGCGGUGAGAUGCGUAGAGAUCUGGGGGAAUACCGGUGGCGAAGGCGGCCCCCUGGACGAAGACUGACGCUCAGGUGCGAAAGCGUGGGGAGCAAACAGG